GAUGAACGCUAGCGGCAGGCUUAAUACAUGCAAGUCGAGGGGUAGCAAGAUUGUAGCAAUACAAUUGUUGACGACCGGCAAACGGGUGCGGAACACGUACACAACCUUCCUACAAGUGGGGAAUAGCCCAGAGAAAUUUGGAUUAAUACCCCGUAACAUAGCGAUGUGGCAUCACAUUGCUAUUAUAGCUUCGGCGCUUGUUGAUGGGUGUGCGGCUGAUUAGAUAGUUGGCGGGGUAACGGCCCACCAAGUCUACGAUCAGUAGCUGAUGUGAGAGAGUGAUCAGCCACACGGGCACUGAGACACGGGCCCGACUCCUACGGGAGGCAGCAGUAAGGAAUAUUGGACAAUGGAAGCAAGUCUGAUCCAGCCAUGCCGCGUGAAGGAUUAAGGUCCUCUGGAUUGUAAACUUCUUUUAUAAGGGACGAAAAAAGGUCUUUCUAGAUCGUCUGACGGUACCUUAUGAAUAAGCACCGGCUAACUCCGUGCCAGCCGCCGCGGUAAUAC
rnacentral:rRNA from 1 species